CAAAUAGUUUUUUCCCUCACUGUAUGUGUGUGUAAAAAUACAAUUUAUUUAUAGCCUGUAAUCUGUAAGAGAACAACAAGAGCAUGUCUUUUUGGCACAACUGCAGACAGACAGAGGGACUACUCAUAAAGCCUAGACGUAGUAGGGGAACGUCAGACAAGGCCAUAAAGAGAGCCAGGGCAGGGCACUGGAGAUCUACGGUACAGAUAGGAGAGGUGUGUGUAUCUGAAAAAACUAAAAGUGAAUGUGUAGCCACAAUACAGGUAAACACACAUUUCACCUUCAGUCUUGUAAAAGAAUAACAAGAGCAUCUGAAUUCUCCGGUGUGUCAAGUUUCAAUUCAGUUAAUUUCAUUGCAAUCUAUGUACAACUAAUAAUGAAUGCUAUCCUAAGUAUUGAGAAACUAUUUACUUUAUGAAUUCCAUUAAUUUUAUACUAAAAAAGCCUACAUAGGGCAUAGUAACCGGAAUAAGGACAGUUGGAAAAUCUCAAUUGAGGACAGUUGGAAAAUCUCAGUUGCAUGUCCUUGAUUCCUUGCAUCCUCUCUCUUCAUCUCCUGCUCAAACCCCAUUGGAGGAGAAGAUCAAAACAACAACCAGACAACUCUCCUCUUCCUGUCCUUCCUGCAAUCUGGUCGGCUACAUUGACUCCAUUUCUGGAAGGGAAGGGAAAAACAACACAUACAAGCAAUACAUAAUAUAGCACCAUAAAAGCCUAUCCAGGGUUGGAACCAGACUCAUGGCAAAGAGGGUCUCUUCAUCCUCCUUCCUGUGAGCAUCAGGUUGGGCUGCAUCCUUCUCGACGGCUUGGAGGAGCCUCUGCUGAAAUGACUCUGACAGCAGAUUCUCGGCAUAAAUAUCCUUGCAGCCCAGACGCGGUAUCUUUCCGGUGAAAACUGUUUUUGGUCAGCUUUGAUGAACAUCCAAAGUUGAGUGAAUCAAAAUCUGGAGCAAUCCGGAGAACAGCCGAAGCAUCACUGGAGUGGGUGCUUCACUGUUGGCAAUGGAGGAUCAGCUACCUACGGAGGAGAGGCUACUAUGGAGGAUCAGCUACCUACGGAGGAGAGGCUACUAUGGAGGAUCAGCUACCUACGGAGGAGAGGCUGCUAUGGAGGAUCAGCUACCUACGGAGGAGAGGCUGCUAUGGAGGAUCAGCUACCUACGGAGGAGAGGCUACUAUGGAGGAUCAGCUACCUACGGAGGAGAGGCCGCUAUGGAGGAUCAGCUACCUACGGAGGAGAGGCCGCUAUGGAGGAUCAGCUACCUACGGAGGAGAGGCUGCUAUAGAGGAUCAGCUACCUACGGAGGAGAGGCUACUAUAGAGGAUCAGCUACCUACGGAGGAGAGGCUACUAUAGAGGAUCAGCUACCUACGGAGGAGAGGCUACUAUAGAGGAUUAGCUACCUACGGAGGAGAGUACUAUUGCUACUAUUGUUAUCCUUGAUAGUUUGCAAAUGCAUUGUAUGGCCUAUUGAUUAACGAAACACAUUAUUUAUAUUAUUAUUAGUAUUAUUUUGUGUUAGAAUUGGCCAUUUACCUUGAAACAUUAUCAUUAUAAUGUUAUAACAUUGUUGUGUCUCAAUUGGCCACUAGGCUAUAAACAGGAGCGAAGCACAUUGGUCAGCCUGAUGUCGAAACGUCAGUGACCUGCUUGCAUCCUGUACAAUGGAUUAAAAGUGGAACUGACAGCAUUUUAGCAACAUGAAAUCUUAUUAAAAUGUGUUCUUAUACACCCCCAAGGAAGAAUAUGACACCCUUAUUUUUGUUAACUAUUUGACACGUGAGCACUUAUAUAUGGUCAUUUUCAUGUUCUCAUAAAAUCACAUAAUGUUUGGAAAUUACAUAUGUUAGUAUGAAUUACAUAUGUUAUCUUAGUAUUUUUAAUGAUACAGUCUUGUGUGACUUAGUCAUAAAUCUGAGCGUACAGAUUUAUGAGCUGCUUGGGUGCGACCACAGUAUGUGACCUCCUGUGUUUACGAUCGGCAGGAAUUUAUCGAUGUGGGAAGUACAGUGAGGCACAGAGAGGGGUGACGAUAUCAGCUAUCUUGAUCUACACAGACAAGGAAAUUACUUUUUACAACUCUGUUCCCAGGGCCUGUUUCUGCACAUAUGCUAACUGUCACAAAGAUAAAAGGAUGUACUUUCUAUAAAAGGAGAAAGACAGCUCUGUUCAUUGUACUUUUCAACUCUGACUAUUCUUAGUGAUUGUUGAUUGCUUCAUUGUUGCAAAUCUUAUAAUAAAGUUGUUUUGAAGGAUAUUCUUUCUCCUUUUGGUUAGAGAUUCCACAAAAAUUGGAGACGAGGAUGAGAUGGCUUACUCCGCUUGCUGAUUGAUCCCGGGGAGACAGAGGUUAACUGUGCGCAGGGGCUGGGUUAGAUGUGGCAGGGGGCCCCACACUCCGACUAAGUGGAGCAGGAUGGGGCCCGCCUCGGACCGGCAGGGAGCGUCAUUGAGUGGAUACGCCAUUCCGAACAUACAGAGUUAAGGGUGAGACUGAUUUUCUGAAACGCAACCUCCAAUUGGGGAAAGUUCUAGGAACUUUUAAAAUCCUGUUCUAAGAACUUUUUGAAAAUCCUUUUAUAGGAAUAGGUCACGGUUUGGCGAUACCAGGACAGAGUCCUGAUGAAAGAGAUUCCAGAAUAAAAUCCUGAGGUAGUGUAGAGAUACCAGGGAAAAGUCCUGAAGAAACAUGCCACGGGUUGCGAUCGUAAGUGUCACGACUUCCGCCAAAGUUGGUCCCUCUCCUUGUUCGGGCAUCACCGGUCUUCUAGCCAUCGCCGCUCUACCUUUCAUUUUCCAUUUGUUUUGUCUUGUUUUCCUGCACACCUGGUUUACGUCUCCUCAUAAUUACUAUGUGUAUUUAGCCCUCUGUUCCCUCCAUGUCUGUGUGGGGUAUUGUGUAUUGUCGAGGUUGGCACGCUCCCGGCUGGUUUAGCGCCAGGUUUACCUGUGUUUUGUGGGAGCCGGUACUUUAUACUUUGUUUGUGGUACUUUGUGCUGCCUUUGUUUUGGGCAUUUGGUAUUGGUGACGCUGUUGCAUUCUGGUCUUAAUACUUGCCUCAGUAAAGUACUUUGUGUUCACUCAUCUCUGCUCUCCUGCGCCUGACUUCUAUGCACCAGCUACACCCACCGUUGACAGUAAGAUGUAAAUGCAUGAGCUAUGGGAUUCCAGGACAGGAUCCUGAGGUACAAGUCAAAAAUAUUCCUGCAGGUUAUAAAAAUAUAAAAAUGUAUUAAUCAGUGUACUGGUAAAACAGUUAAUUAUGAUUGGGAAACCAGCUAUAGAUUUAAAAAUACUUGGGAAAUUUGCAUAACUACCAUGUGGGUAUGAAAUGUAAAAUUACAUAGAAUAAAUCAAAAAUAAAUAAUAACUCUCAUUUGAAUUAUAAGAAAGGGAGACGUUCCUAAUUAAAAACUAUGGGUUUCGUGUGUUUGUGUCUGAGUGUGUGUGUGUGUGUAUAGACAGAGUUUCACAAUGGGAGCCAAAAGCAGUAAGGGAGACCCUUGUCUACCCGAUCCGUUGACUGGACCGGUGAAAAUAAUGGCGGCUAAGGGGGCAGGGACAUUCUGGAACAGGUACCGCUCUGGCACAAAGUAGCAGAUUUUACUUUAAAAGGCACAUUGAGUGAAGUUUUAUUAGCAGAAUGUAGAAAGCAGUUACAGGGCGGGACUUCAAGCACUACAGGAGAAGAACUUGGCUUGUUACAACUGUGGAAAAGAGGGACAUUUCACAAGAAAGUGUCCAAACCCAAGUGAGCCAGGGGCAGCAGGGGGAGGUUGGAAAAACGGACCUCCACCAAAAACCACCCUUUACAACCCAUAUAUGGACUGACGCGAGGUAGAGACAGUUGACACUCUUGGGCAGCAUUUAAAGAUUUUUUCAAACCUCCGUGAGGAGCCGAGGGUUAGUCUAUUUGUCAAUGGUGAGUUUUUUGUGCCCUGCUCGCAGCACCAACUGUUAGGUUCUAAAUAAACAGAGUAAAAACUCACAGAUUAGUAAACUAGUAAAGCUCAAACCAAGUUUAUUCACCCACUGGGUCACACAGCUGCAUAAGACAAAGACAUUUACACAAUGUAAGGAGUCUCCUCCUUACACAUCUGAACAGCCAAUACAUCUCUGUUACUAGACAGGACUUUAGUGAUGCCUGUUCUUUCUCACUUCAUCUGACCUGACCUCAGCCCAAAUUCCUCACUCUUCCUCAACUCACGGCUGUCCUUUUGACUUGUACCAGACUGUGGCCCUACAUGCUAAAUAAAGGACACAUAAAUGUUAUGGUGGAUUAAAACAAAUGAUUAAUGAUUGGAGGGAGGACAGUGAACUUAUCAUUAUCCUGUUUUGUUUGUAAUUAAGACUUUUGGGUUGCUGAGAUGUAGCAUAGUGAAUACUAACUAAAUGUAUACUUUCUCUUCCAGGAGAGGAGGGGGUGUCAUUAUCUCUCACUUUGAAAUGUUUCCAGAGACUGUGUCUUGGGAGAGCAGUUAGUGGAAUUCUGCAGUUUUAUAAGUAUAAAGGUAUCUGGAUCCGGCCGUAAAAGGAGAGCCCAGAUGGUCUUGCCCAGAAGUAUGGUCUUGCCAUUUCUUUGUUUUUUUAACUCUAUGUUUUAACACACACAUUGCUGUUGUUGUUUUUGAAAAAGAAAAAAGCGUUCACUACGACCUCGUCUUUCACCACUCCUACCUGUGAUCUGAGUCCAAGCUGGCAUGAGUCCUGAGACCGUGCAUGUGGAGUGAGCAUGGAGAGAGAUCACAUCCAAACUUCGCUCAUGCUGCUGGUGUGCCGGUGGGAAAAAGGACCAGACAGAAUUGACUGUACAGAUUGACAGCUCAGGUGAGAGAUUUGUGUGCUUGGGAAAAUGUGAUUAUCCCACAGAUAUUGAAAUUGGGACAUUAUCAAGGGCCAUCAAUGGUGACAGGCAUGAGUUACAUAUGUGCCGUUGAAAAAAUUAACUGUAAUGCUAUCUGAAGAAGAAAAUGAAGAUACUUACAGAUACCAGUGUUUCAGGUUAGGCAGUAUGCCCUCAAAAACACCUUUUAAGCCCAAGUCCACCUUUUGUCCCAUUGUCCAGAAUGCCACACUAAAUACAUUUUCCAAGAAGUUGAAAUUUGAUGUGGAGAAUCUGUUUAAGGAUAAAAUUGACUCUAACCAAACACAAUGUAACCUUUCUAAAACAGAGAUGCAGUUGAAUCAUUGUCCAAAAAUGGAUGGAUUAUGGUUAAAAAAGCAGACAAAUGUGGCGCAACAGUAGUGUGGAGUAAAGACAAAUAUGUGACAGAAGCCUACUGUCAAUUAGACAAUGAUGAAUUCUACCAAUCUUUUACCUUCAACCCUACAGAGGACCUAAACACUGAAUUGAAAGGGAUCCUCACAGAAGCUAAGGAGAAUGGCUACAUUUCAGACAAUGAGUUCAAAUUUAUUUUCAAUGACAGUCUGCAUAUGGCUUCUUUUAUUUGUAUUUUUUAAUCUUCUGCCAAAAGUCCACAAGAAUCUUGAAAACCCCCCAAGUGACCGAUGUGAAAUGGCUAGCUAGUAAGCGGUGGUGCGCGCUAAUAGCGUUCCGAUUGGUGACAUCACUAGCUCUGAGACCUUGAAGUGGUGGUUCCCCUUGCUCUGCAAGGGCCGCUGCUUUUG